AUGUUUUCUUUUUUGGGUAAAUUCCUCCCUUGAGGUUAGUCAAUAUUAUAUAGACUAGUAACGAUGUACACUCCUUAUUAUUCUGUUAUUCUCCUAACUCCUAGAAAAAGUAAAAUUUGCAUUUAUUAUCUUGUUAUCAUAAGAAGCAUUCUAAAUUCUCCUUGUUUAGAAAUUAUGAGGAUAUCUGGGAUGAUGGUUUAGGAGGGAUGCAUCUUUAUUCUUUUGUAAAGUUUAGGUGAUACUGCACUUGAUACCUUUGUAUUUCGUAAUAACCUCCCUUGAUAAACAUUAAGCGUUGCAUGAUGUUGAAAUUUACUUAGUAUGGCUGGAAAUACGAUUGAUGCCGCAUUUUCUUUUCAAUGCAGCUUCUGUUCCAGACUCUGUGAAAGCUGAGUUGUUACAACGAAUUAGAUCAUUUCUUGCAUCGGCUGCUAUAUGAUCAUGAUAGCAUUGUAUCAGUGUGUGCAUUCUCUGAAUGGUAAGAGGCACGAACUCCACAACUAUCUAUCCUGUCAACUGUUGUUUAGUGUAAUAUUAUCUGUAAAGUUUGGACAAGCUUUAUAGGUUACAUCAUGUUUGAAAAAGAGAAAAGCAAAAAUGGGGGGUGGGUUUUCUGAGUUCUGUCCAGGCAUGUAAACUUCAGGUUGAGUAUUCUUGUUUCCCAAUCAAAUUGCUAGGCAUAGUUCAUGAAAAAUAUUAGAAACACUAAAUUGUAACAUCCUUAUCUACUUGUAUUCCCUCCUGAGUGCUUAGUU
rnacentral:lncRNA from 1 species